UACGUAGGGUGCUAGCGUUGUUCGGAAUCAUUGGGCGUAAAGCGCGUGUAGGUGGUUAAUAAAGUUGGGUGUGAAAUCCCUCGGCUCAACCGAGGAAGUGCACUCAAAACUAAUUAGCUUGAGAGUGGUAGAGGAAGGUGGAAUUCCUAGUGUAGAGGUGAAAUUCGUAGAUAUUAGGAGGAAUACCGGAGGCGAAGGCGGCCUUCUGGACCAUUUCUGACACUGAGACGCGAAAGCGUGGGUAGCAAACAGGAUUAGAUACCCUGGUAGUCCACGCCGUAAACGAUGGGUACUAGAUGUUGCGGGAAUUGACCCCUGCAGUGUCGCAGCUAACGCAUUAAGUACCCCGCCUGGGAAGUACGGUCGCAAGAUUAAA
rnacentral:rRNA from 1 species